UACAGAGGGGGCAAGCGUUAUUCGGAAUUAUUGGGCGUAAAGGGCGCGUAGGCGGCCUGACAAGUGGAAGGUGAAAUCCCUCGGCUUAACCGAGGAACUGCCCUCCAAACUGUUUGGCUUGAGACCGGGAGAGGUGAGUGGAAUUCCCAGUGUAGCGGUGAAAUGCGUAGAUAUUGGGAGGAACACCAGUGGCGAAGGCGGCUCACUGGACUGGUAUUGACGCUGAGGUGCGAAAGCGUGGGGAGCAAACAGG
rnacentral:rRNA from 1 species